CCUGACUGCUAUCGGAUUGAUACUAAGCCAUGCGAGUCUUUGUAGCAAUACAAGGCAGACGGCUCAGUAACACGUAGUCAAUCUAACCUAUGGACGGGGAUAACCUCGGGAAACUGAGAAUAAUACCCGAUAGAUCAUUAUAUCUGGAAUGGUUUAUGGUCGAAAUGAUUUAUCGCCGUAGGAUGGGACUGCGGUCUAUCAGCUUGUUGGUGUGGUAAUGGCUCACCAAGGCUAUUACAGAUACGGGCUCUGAGAGGAGAGGCCCGGAGAUGGGUACUGAGACACGGACCCAGGCCCUAUGGGGCGCAGCAGGCGAGAAAACCUUGCAAUGUGCGAAAGCACGACAAGGUUAGUCCGAGUGAUUUCUGCUAAAGAGAUCUUUUGCUAGUUAUAAAACCACUAGUGAAUAAGGGGUGGGCAAGUUCUGGUGUCAGCCGCCGCGGUAAAACCAGCACCUCAAGUGGUCAGGAUGAUUAUUGGGCCUAAAGCAUCCGUAGCCGGCUCUGUAAGUUUUCGGUUAAAUCUAUGCGCUCAACGUAUGGGCUGCCGAAAAUACUGCAGAGAUAGGGAGUGGGAGAGGUAGACGGUACUCGGUAGGAAGGGGUAAAAUCCUUUGAUCUAUCGAUGACCACCUGUGGCGAAGGCGGUCUACCAGAACACGUUCGACGGUGAGGGAUGAAAGCUGGGGGAGCAAACCGGAUUAGAUGCCCGGGUAGUCCCAGCUGUAAACAAUGCAAACUCAGUGAUGCAUUGGCUUUUUGCCAGUGCAGUGCCGCAGGGAAGCCGUUAAGUUUGCCGCCUGGGAAGUACGUACGCAAGUAUGAAACUUAAAGGAAUUGGCGGGGGAGCACCACAAGGGGUGAAGCCUGCGGUUCAAUGGAGUCAACGCCGG
rnacentral:rRNA from 1 species